rnacentral:rRNA from 1 species
AAUCAACGCUGGCGGCGUGCCUCAGACAUGCAAGUCGAACGCGAAAGUCCCCUUCGGGGACGAAGUAGAGUGGCGCACGGGUGAGUAACACGUAGGUAAUCUACCUUCGGAUGGGAAGUAACAACCGGAAACGGUUGCUAAUACCGCAUAAUGCAGCGGCACCUAAUGGUGACAGUUGUUAAAGACGGGGGAGUCAAAGACCUCGCGUCUGAAGAGGAGCCUGCGGCGGAUUAG